rnacentral:rRNA from 1 species
UACGUAGGGUGCGAGCGUUAAUCGGAAUUACUGGGCGUAAAGCGCGCGCAGGCGGUUUUGUAAGCCAGGGGUGAAAUCCCCGGGCUCAACCUGGGAAUGGCAUUUGGGACUGCAAGGCUGGAGUGCGGCAGAGGAGACUGGAAUUCCUGGUGUAGCAGUGAAAUGCGUAGAUAUCAGGAGGAAUACCGAUGGCGAAGGCAGGUCUCUGGGCUGACACUGACGCUCAUGCACGAAAGCGUGGGGAGCAAACAGG